UGCAAUCCUAAACAAGUAGAAAUAUAAGCAGUCAACUACUCUUUCUCAUAACAUUCCCCCUUGAGCUGGAGCAGAGACAUUAAUCAUGUCUAGCUUGUUACAGAUGUAGCCAACCCGAGCUCUAUUAAGAGCAUUCAUAAAGAUGAGCUCCAUUAAGAGCAUUCAUAAAGAUAUCUCCCAACGGCUCUCUAGUUUUAACAUAACUGAUGAAAACAAGUUUUUCCUGAAUCUUGUCACGAAUAAAAUGACAAUCAAU
rnacentral:misc_RNA from 1 species